rnacentral:rRNA from 1 species
GUGGGGAAUAUUGGGCAAUGGGCGAAAGCCUGACCCAGCAACGCCGCGUGAAGGAAGAAGGUCUUCGGAUCGUAAACUUCUAUCCUUGGUGAAGAUAAUGACGGUAGCCGAGAAGGAAGCCCCGGCUAACUACGUGCCAGCAGCCGCGGUAAUACGUAGGGGGCAAGCGUUGUCCGGAAUGAUUGGGCGUAAAGGGCGCGUAGGCGGCCUGGUAAGUCUGGAGUGAAAGUCCUGCUUUUAAGGUGGGAAUUGCUUUGGAUACUGUCGGGCUUGAGUGCAGGAGAGGUAAGUGGAAUUCCCGGUGUAGAGGUGAAAUUCGUAGAUAUUGGGAAGAACACCGGUGGCGAAGGCGACCACCUGGCUCGGUACUGACGCUGAGGCGCGACAGCGUGGGGAGCAAACAGGAUUAGAUACCCCUGUAGUCC